GAUGAACGCUGGCGGCGUGCCUAAUACAUGCAAGUCGAGCGAACGGAUUAAGAGCUUGCUCUUAUGAAGUUAGCGGCGGACGGGUGAGUAACACGUGGGUAACCUGCCCAUAAGACUGGGAUAACUCCGGGAAACCGGGGCUAAUACCGGAUAACAUUCUGAACCGCAUGGCUCGAAAUUGAACGGCGGCUUCGGCUGUCUCUUAUGGAUGGACUCGCGUCGCAUUAGCUGGUUGGUGAGGUAACGGCUAACCAAGGCAACGAUUCGUAGCCGACCUGAGAGGGUGAUCGGCCACACUGGGACUGAGACACGGCCCAGACUCCUACGGGAGGCAGCAGUAGGGAAUCUUCCGCAAUGGACGAAAGUCUGACGGAGCAACGCCGCGUGAGUGAUGAGGGCUUUCGGGUCGUAAAACUCUGUUGUUAGGGAAGAACAAGUGCUAGUUGAAUAAGCUGGCAUCUUGACGGUACCUAACCAGAAAGCCACGGCUAACUACGUGCCAGCCGCCGCCGUAA
rnacentral:rRNA from 1 species